UUCACAAUGUUCGAAUUUCCCACAAAACCCUAUCUCUGAUUUCGUUUUCCCUCUCUUUCUUUUCACGCUCAAACAGAAAAUUCACCAAAAGAAAAGCCCUAAUUUCUAAACCCCCUAACGCUAACACACAGUGUACUCUCCACUCAACUCUUUCCUUAUCCACACACACUCACGCACAGAAAUGGCUUCCGCGAAUGCUAUCUUCACCGCCUCGAUCCUCACUUCUCCCAAACAGGGGAAUUUGAGAAGUAGGAGAGUGAAUCAACUACUGCAAGGUCAGAAGAUGAAUUACAAUGGGGUGUCCUCGAGUCGGCGGUUCGUGGUGAGAGCUGUUGCGAAGGAGAUCGCGUUUGACCAGAGUUCGAGGUCUGCUCUUCAGGUAGGCAUCGAUAAGCUUGCUGAUGCUGUUGGCCUCACUCUUGGUCCUAGAGAUGGCUGGUCAGAUCAAGAUCUAUUGGCUAAAUUGUGGAAUAUAGAUUGAAUGUUGGAUUAAAAAACAUACAACAGUGAAUCAGUAUGAGAAGCUGUCUCCAUUUUAGGAUUGAUUCGUUGGAAACUCUGUGAAGCCCUCCUUCCUAGGGAGAGGAAGACAGAAAGAGAAAAAAGGUUCAGUUUAGUUCUCAUUCAUUGGCGGGGGGAUUUGUUCUACACAGAGAGCAUUUUAUUGAAAAAAAGAGAGCAUUUUUUUAAUAUAUUAUUGCUUAAAUUUGUUAACUACUUGAUUAAUAAUGUAAUUCUAUGGAAAUAAAGGGUAUCUCAACGGAUAAAAUACUUGAUGUAAGGAGGCUGCUAGCAGUCAAUGUAGGCACAUGCCACCUCACCAACUAUUCUCUAUGCCAUGAGGUUAAAGGACAUAGAUUGAAUGAUAGGUUGGAGGUUGUUUCUCUAAAGCCCUGUUUGCUGAGGAUGGUUGAAGAUAUUUCCUGAGUAGCAGUUUGCUUAUUGUGGAAUGCGGGCGUGUAAAUAUUAUGACCAACUUUUAUUUUUGUAACCCACGGAAGAAUGAAGACCAAAACUUUUGGUUUUGGUUUACGUUAUUUAGAUUUGUGAACAACAUUAUGGCGCUGUUUGGGAUUCCGAGAAUUAGGCUAUUAUAGCCUCAUUUGAUUUUUUAGCCCAAAAGCAACACUGUGCAUGGAUUUUCAAAAAAAAAAA